rnacentral:pre_miRNA from 1 species
UUAUAACAUUUUCCUCGGCAGUUAACUGCAGCCAGAUUUCAAAUUCAUCGACAGUUAACUGCCGAAGGAGCAA